rnacentral:tRNA from 1 species
UCCUUGAUGGUCCAGUGGUUAAGACUCUAUGCUUCCAAUACAGGGGGUGCAGGUUCAAUCCCUGGUCAGGAAA